rnacentral:rRNA from 1 species
AGUGAACGCUGGCGGUAGGCCUAACACAUGCAAGUCGAACGGCAGCACAGUAAGGGCUUGCUCUUACGGGUGGCGAGUGGCGGACGGGUGAGGAAUACAUCUGAAUCUACUUUUUCGUGGGGGAGAACGUAGGGAAACUUACGCUAAUACCGCAUACGACCUACGGGUGAAAGCAGGGGAUCUUCGGACCUUGCGCGAUUGAAUGAGCCGAUGUCGGAUUAGCUAGUUGGCGGGGUAAAGGCCCACCAAGGCGACGAUCCGUAGCUGGUCUGAGAGGAUGAUUAGGCACACUGGAACUGAGAAACGGUCCAGACUCCUACGGGAGGACGCAGUGGGGAAUAUUGGACAAUGGGCGAAAGCCUGAUCCAGCCCUACCGCGUGGGUGAAGAAGGACUUCGGGCUGUAAAGCCCUUUUGUUGGGAAAGAAAAGCAGCAGGUUAAUACCCCGCUGUUCUGACGGUACCCAAAGAAUAAGCACCGGCUAACUUCGUG